rnacentral:rRNA from 1 species
GAUGAACGCUAACUACAGGCUUAACACAUGCAAGUCGAGGGGUAACAAGAGAAAAGCUUGCUUUUCUUGUUGACGACCGGCGCACGGGUGAGUAACGCGUAUCCAACCUGCCUAUAACUAGGGAAUAACCUUGCGAAAGUAAGACUAAUACCCUAUGAUUUCCUUUGAUGACAUCAGAUUAGGAAUAAAGAUUUAUCGGUUAUAGAUGGGGAUGCGUCUGAUUAGCUUGUUGGCGGGGUAACGGCCCACCAAGGCAACGAUCAGUAGGGGUUCUGAGAGGAAGGUCCCCCACAUUGGAACUGAGACACGGUCCAAACUCCUACGGGAGGCAGCAGUGAGGAAUAUUGGUCAAUGGGCGGAAGCCUGAACCAGCCAAGUAGCGUGCAGGAUGACGGCCCUAUGGGUUGUAAACUGCUUUUAUACAGGAAUAAAGUUAGCCACGUGUGGUUAUUUGUAGGUACUGUAUGAAUAAGGACCGGCUAAUUCCGUGCCAGCAGCCGCCGUAA